CAUAGGUUAAUGAGGCGAACCGGGGGAACUGAAACAUCUAAGUACCCCGAGGAAAAGAAAUCAACCGAGAUUCCCCCAGUAGCGGCGAGCGAACGGGGAGGAGCCCAGAGCCUGAAUCAGUGUGUGUGUUAGUGGAAGCGUCUGGAAAGGCGCGCGAUACAGGGUGACAGCCCCGUACACAAAAAUGCACAUGCUGUGAGCUCGAUGAGUAGGGCGGGACACGUGGUAUCCUGUCUGAAUAUGGGGGGACCAUCCUCCAAGGCUAAAUACUCCUGACUGACCGAUAGUGAACCAGUACCGUGAGGGAAAGGCGAAAAGAACCCCGGCGAGGGGAGUGAAAAAGAACCUGAAACCGUGUACGUACAAGCAGUGGGAGCACAGAGCAAUCUGUGUGACUGCGUACCUUUUGUAUAAUGGGUCAGCGACUUAUAUUCUGUAGCAAGGUUAACCGAAUAGGGGAGCCGAAGGGAAACCGAGUCUUAACCGGGCGUUAAGUUGCAGGGUAUAGACCCGAAACCCGGUGAUCUAGCCAUGGGCAGGUUGAAGGUUGGGUAACACUAACUGGAGGACCGAACCGACUAAUGUUGAAAAAUUAGCGGAUGACUUGUGGCUGGGGGUGAAAGGCCAAUCAAACCGGGAGAUAGCUGGUUCUCCCCGAAAGCUAUUUAGGUAGCGCCUCGUGAAUUCAUCUCCGGGGGUAGAGCACUGUUUCGGCAAGGGGGUCAUCCCGACUUACCAACCCGAUGCAAACUGCGAAUACCGGAGAAUGUUAUCACGGGAGACACACGGCGGGUGCUAACGUCCGUCGUGAAGAGGGAAACAACCCAGACCGCCAGCUAAGGUCCCAAAGUCAUGGUUAAGUGGGAAACGAUGUGGGAAGGCCCAGACAGCCAGGAUGUUGGCUUAGAAGCAGCCAUCAUUUAAAGAAAGCGUAAUAGCUCACUGGUCGAGUCGGCCUGCGCGGAAGAUGUAACGGGGCUAAACCAUGCACCGAAGCUGCGGCAGCGACACUGUGUGUUGUUGGGUAGGGGAGCGUUCUGUAAGCCUGUGAAGGUGUGCUGUGAGGCAUGCUGGAGGUAUCAGAAGUGCGAAUGCUGACAUAAGUAACGAUAAAGCGGGUGAAAAGCCCGCUCGCCGGAAGACCAAGGGUUCCUGUCCAACGUUAAUCGGGGCAGGGUGAGUCGACCCCUAAGGCGAGGCCGAAAGGCGUAGUCGAUGGGAAACAGGUUAAUAUUCCUGUACUUGGUGUUACUGCGAAGGGGGGACGGAGAAGGCUAUGUUGGCCGGGCGACGGUUGUCCCGGUUUAAGCGUGUAGGCUGGUUUUCCAGGCAAAUCCGGAAAAUCAAGGCUGAGGCGUGAUGACGAGGCACUACGGUGCUGAAGCAACAAAUGCCCUGCUUCCAGGAAAAGCCUCUAAGCAUCAGGUAACAUCAAAUCGUACCCCAAACCGACACAGGUGGUCAGGUAGAGAAUACCAAGGCGCUUGAGAGAACUCGGGUGAAGGAACUAGGCAAAAUGGUGCCGUAACUUCGGGAGAAGGCACGCUGAUAUGUAGGUGAAGUCCCUCGCGGAUGGAGCUGAAAUCAGUCGAAGAUACCAGCUGGCUGCAACUGUUUAUUAAAAACACAGCACUGUGCAAACACGAAAGUGGACGUAUACGGUGUGACGCCUGCCCGGUGCCGGAAGGUUAAUUGAUGGGGUCAGCGCAAGCGAAGCUCUUGAUCGAAGCCCCGGUAAACGGCGGCCGUAACUAUAACGGUCCUAAGGUAGCGAAAUUCCUUGUCGGGUAAGUUCCGACCUGCACGAAUGGCGUAAUGAUGGCCAGGCUGUCUCCACCCGAGACUCAGUGAAAUUGAACUCGCUGUGAAGAUGCAGUGUACCCGCGGCAAGACGGAAAGACCCCGUGAACCUUUACUAUAGCUUGACACUGAACAUUGAGCCUUGAUGUGUAGGAUAGGUGGGAGGCUUUGAAGUGUGGACGCCAGUCUGCAUGGAGCCGACCUUGAAAUACCACCCUUUAAUGUUUGAUGUUCUAACGUGGACCCGUGAUCCGGGUUGCGGACAGUGUCUGGUGGGUAGUUUGACUGGGGCGGUCUCCUCCUAAAGAGUAACGGAGGAGCACGAAGGUUGGCUAAUCCUGGUCGGACAUCAGGAGGUUAGUGCAAUGGCAUAAGCCAGCUUGACUGCGAGCGUGACGGCGCGAGCAGGUGCGAAAGCAGGUCAUAGUGAUCCGGUGGUUCUGAAUGGAAGGGCCAUCGCUCAACGGAUAAAAGGUACUCCGGGGAUAACAGGCUGAUACCGCCCAAGAGUUCAUAUCGACGGCGGUGUUUGGCACCUCGAUGUCGGCUCAUCACAUCCUGGGGCUGAAGUAGGUCCCAAGGGUAUGGCUGUUCGCCAUUUAAAGUGGUACGCGAGCUGGGUUUAGAACGUCGUGAGACAGUUCGGUCCCUAUCUGCCGUGGGCGCUGGAGAACUGAGGGGGGCUGCUCCUAGUACGAGAGGACCGGAGUGGACGCAUCACUGGUGUUCGGGUUGUCAUGCCAAUGGCACUGCCCGGUAGCUAAAUGCGGAAGAGAUAAGUGCUGAAAGCAUCUAAGCACGAAACUUGCCCCGAGAUGAGUUCUCCCUGACCCUUUAAGGGUCCUGAAGGAACGUUGAAGACGACGACGUUGAUAGGCCGGGUGUGUAAGCGCAGCGAUGCGUUGAGCUAACCGGUACUAAUGAACCGUGAGGCUUAACCUU
rnacentral:rRNA from 1 species